UACGUAGGGGGCUAGCGUUGUCCGGAAUCAUUGGGCGUAAAGCGCGCGUAGGCGGCCAGAUAAGUCCGGUGUGAAAGUCACAGGCUCAACCUGUGAAUGCCGCUGGAAACUGUCUGGCUUGAGUCCGGAAGGGGCGAGUGGAAUUCCUGGUGUAGCGGUGAAAUGCGCAGAUAUCAGGAAGAACACCCGUGGCGAAGGCGGCUCUCUGGAACGCAACUGACGCUGAGACGCGAAAGCGUGGGGAGCAAACAGG
rnacentral:rRNA from 1 species